rnacentral:lncRNA from 1 species
AGUUCAUGUAAAGUGCAAAUAAUAUUUUUUGUAGAUUUAUAAUAACAUUUACCCCAAUUAUGACAGUAAUUUAAUGUGAAUACCAAUACAGCCCGAUCGGGGUGUAACAAGUCACGAGCAUCUAAUGAGUAAGAACACUACUACAGGACCAACAACGUAUAUAUAUAUAUAUAUAUAUAUAUAUACAUACAUACAAGAUAAAACCAGAAUACAAAGAUGGAGU